GAUGAACGCUGGCGGCGUGCCUAAUACAUGCAAGUAGAACGCUGAAACUUGGUGCUUGCACCGAGCGGAGGAGUUGCGAACGGGUGAGUAACGCGUAGGUAACCUGCCUCUUAGCGGGGGAUAACUAUUGGAAACGAUAGCUAAUACCGCAUAAAAGUCGACAUUGCAUGAUGUUGACUUGAAAGGUGCAACUGCAUCACUAAGAGAUGGACCUGCGUUGUAUUAGCUAGUUGGUGAGGUAACGGCUCACCAAGGCGACGAUACAUAGCCGACCUGAGAGGGUGAUCGGCCACACUGGGACUGAGACACGGCCCAGACUCCUACGGGAGGCAGCAGUAGGGAAUCUUCGGCAAUGGACGGAAGUCUGACCGAGCAACGCCGCGUGAGUGAAGAAGGUUUUCGGAUCGUAAAGCUCUGUUGUAAGAGAAGAACGAGUGUGAGAGUGGAAAGUUCACACUGUGACGGUAACUUACCAGAAAGGGACGGCUAACUACGUGCCAGCAGCCGCGGUAAUACGUAGGUCCCGAGCGUUAUCCGGAUUUAUUGGGCGUAAAGCGAGCGCAGGCGGUUAGAUAAGUCUGAAGUUAAAGGCUGUGGCUUAACCAUAGUACGCUUUGGAAACUGUUUAACUUGAGUGCAGAAGGGGAGAGUGGAAUUCCAUGUGUAGCGGUGAAAUGCGUAGAUAUAUGGAGGAACACCGGUGGCGAAAGCGGCUCUCUGGUCUGUAACUGACGCUGAGGCUCGAAAGCGUGGGGAGCAAACAGG
rnacentral:rRNA from 1 species